GUCGGGAUGGCGAAACUGGCAGACGCAGGAGACUUAAAAUCUCCCGGUGAGACCACCGUGCGGGUUCGAUCCCCGCUCCCGACA
rnacentral:tRNA from 1 species